ensembl:lncRNA
GGUGGUACAGACAGACUGCUAAUUGAACCAUGUUAUAUUUUCUGUGCUUUCAUUCUGCCAUUACUGUUGACACUUUGGGUGUGCAGAAAACAUGAGGUUUAAAUAAGGACGCUUUGGAGGAGUUAGAAACUGGGCAGUGAAAUCCUUUCCACCAAGAAGACUUAAAGGAUCGUUAUUGUAAUACACUGCGAGUAGAACAACGCAGAUUAUGAAAGUGUCACCAAAUUAACUACUUGUUGCUGGAAGUGCACAGAUGUCCAACCAUGUUCACUUGGCAUUGGAAAAGAAGAACACCCACAGCGAUGCGACGGGGCUGACCUGGUUCUCAGUAAGUGGCCUCUAGAAGUGCACUUCAUCAUACAGAGUGUGUUUUGCAGGCAGUAACAAUUCUUUGAAGGGUUUCCCAAGUCUAUUUAUAUAGGAAGGGCAUGAUCAAUGUGGCAGUUCCUGAAAACUUUCCUGGGGAGCAGUAAAGAAAAAUGAAUUUACUGCUUAUACCACAUUCCUGAAAAAUCUUUUCCAUGCCUAAGCCUAAAAUGGUUUUUUGUAUGUUAGAAAGCUGGAGAACAUUAAAAAAAAAGAAAAUAAGAAGUGGAACUUGGAGUUCUAGAAGUAAGUUGGGG